rnacentral:tRNA from 1 species
GACGGUUUGGCCGAGUGGUCUUAAGGCGCCAGAUUUAGGCUCUGGUCCGAAAGGGCGUGGGGUUCAAAUCCCAGCCAAUG